AUGAGCCUACAAUGACUUAGGGCCUACAUUGGGAUCUUGCUGUUCCCUCAUUUCUUACCACUCAUCAUCUUCAACCUGCUUGAAAGCACAAGUCUUUUAAAGUGUUUCCAAUGCAGAUAUCCUGGCCUUGGAAGUAUAUGCCUUACGUCCCUGGUAGUUUAAUUUGACGUAAAUGGGGGGGAUGUUGUUGGGCAAUUGAUACUAUUUUGUAUAAUCAGAAAUAGAAAUCAUAAUCCCCCAAAGAUGUUUAAUAAUUUAAAGUAUUCAGAACUCAAUUAAGGCUAUUAAGAGAUUAGAAAUUAGAUUAAAGGUGGCUAAAGGGUAAAAAUUCAAGGACUUCAAACACCUUUUGUAAUACAAAGGCUCUUAAAAAUGAAAAGGCUGAGGAUUUCCCCAGGAAAUUCUUAUAAUUUUAAUUAGGUUUCUUCAUUUAAAAUAAAAAAAACAAACCACACAAUCUGAGUCCCACUUCCUCUCUCAAGCAAUGGACUCAAUUUAUUGCCUGCUGAGACUUCCUCCUUUCCCAGGUUUGGGGGGACAUGCAAAGGUUUAAUAGGUUUUUUUACCAGGGAGGACCACCCCAACCAUCUGACAUGUUCUCCUGUAUUGAUGCCUGACAAAGAAAUUCUUCCAGCCUUUCCUGUGGUGGUGGGAAUAAUCUUUCCUCUGGUCUUGCUUUCUCUGGCCCAAACUAUCCAUUUCUCAUUUCCUUCCAUAUUGAGUCAAGUCACUGGCUCCUUUUUUCACUGAAAAGAAGAGAAAUCCCUGGAAAUGUGGAAAGCUCUUGCCUUUCUGCAUCUCAUGGUUCCUCCCAGCUGGUGCUGCUUCACAACAAAGAUGAGAAAGAGCCAUGCUGCCAUGAGGAAGGUGCAAGCCAGUGGCAGAGGGGCAACAGAUAUGUCCCUGCAGAUGCAGAGGGUUUUCCAGAAGCAUUGGCUUCUGAGUUGGAGCUGUGUGGGGAGUUGCCAUCUCAAAAGAACAGUUUUCUUUUCCUUUGUGAAAAUAAAUACACAUAGGUUGUGCUACAUGGGCCUUCUCAUUUUCUGUUUUUCAGGCACGAGUUCAUGGAUCCUGUUUGUUCAUCAGCUCAGCUAAGGCUCCACCUCUACUACUGCCACAGAAAUGCCCUGCCCCCAACAAUGAGAAACCAAGGGAAGUGUGCUUCUGUGCUAAAAUCAUAUAGAAGAAGAUUAUAAAAGAAAACAGCAACUAAUUAUUAACAUCAGGUUCCUACUCAGGUCCCCACAUUAUUAGCAUCACAAAUGUAAAAUGGCUGCUAACAAGAUUAAGCUUGGAAACCUCAUUAGAAGGAAAUGUCACAGUUUAUUCCUGGUGAUAAACGCUAUUUUAUUGCCUUUGGAAUGGUUGGCUGGUUUGGCUGAAUGCAAUGGGUGGCUCCCCUUGAGGUAUAUAUUUCUACUGAUGAUUUCAUAUUGUCUGAAGAAUAAUAAAUAUCUGAUAAUUUUCUAAGCAAUCCUGAAAAUAUUUAAUGUUGCCAAAGAAUGCAGUAAUCUAAAUUGCAUACUGGAGUACAGAAGAAAAAGCAUAAUGAUAUGGUAAUACAAAAAGGGCAAAAUCAUAAUGAGGAGGGACAUUUGUCAGUAUACUCAGAAAAGCACAAUCUGUCUCCCUGGUAAUUUGGUGGAGUACAGAAAGUAUUACAUGCCAUAUUACAAGUAUUACAUUUUAUUUCUGACUUCAAGAAUUGUUACCAUAUGUUCAAAGUCAGACAUGACCUCUUAAAUAUAGCAUGUUCUUUGUUCGUGCUGUGCGGGCUUCAUCCUGCUUGGAGAGUAUUUAUUCUGAAAAAAUUAAAGAGAAUAUAAAUCUUCCAGUGCCAGAAGACUUAAUAUCAGCCAGCUUUUGUGGAUGAACUGGACAGCAAUAAUUUGGCUCCUACUGAUGAGGGAAACUUGACAGGUCUGCUUUAUUUCUCAUACCUAACAACUUUCUCUAAAAACUAUUUCUAUGGAAAUAGUCCUGAAUUUCAAGAAGCAUUUGUUACUUUCAAACGCAUUUUACAGGAAAAGGAAAAUAACCACAUAUUUUCAAAUAUUCCUGGUGUGCAGCAGCUUAUUGAUGUUACAAUUAAAUGUGCCUUGUUGUGCCCUGAUAAGGCUAUGAUUAGAAGUUCUUUGAGAUUUAAUGCAUCCAGCUUCAUGUUUAUAGGUAGAGAAGUUCAUGACCUAAGCUCCUCUACUAUGAGUUGUCCUUCCCAGACUCCAAAUUCUUCCUGGAGGUCUGUUUUGACUGUACAUAGACCUAAAGGUUUGUCCAUAUGAUGUCACAUUGAAAUCAAAGGGAAUUUUGUGAAUCUAAUGGCCAAAUCAAGAGAAUGCCUGCAGAUGGAUUUUCACCAGAGUGCAUGUUAGAUUUAAAUACCACACAGCGUUCAUAUAUCACAUCAUUACUAUGGUUUGGACUUUCCUAUACCAUCACCUCCUUACUGUUCUUUUUGUACUGCUGUUUACAGACAAGCCUGGUUAAAGCAUAAGAAACAAUGAUAAGGAAAAUGACUAUUGUUAUUAUCAAAGGAAAGGACAAGGAAUAUUUCUGCAAACUUUUCUAGUAUUAAAUAACCGUGAUAAUGAAGGAAAAUGUCAGUAUAGAAAGGAACGAGGGGUCAAGACAAAAAGGUGGCAUUAUGAAAGGAGUGAUAGGGAAGCAAUACGAUACACAGGAAGCAAUACAAUAAUCAGAAGAAAAUAUUACAAGAAACUGGGAAAACCAAGAAGCAUAAGAGGAAAUGAAAGUAUAUAUAAGUAGGUACAGGUAGAAUUAAAGCUGGGGAGGGUUAGAAAGAGUGAGAAAGUGAAGUCAGAAGAUAUGGAAGAGUAUUAAAGCUGGGAGGAAAUAAAUGAGAAAAUGUGAAUAUCAUCAAUGCUAAUAAGUCCAAAACAUGGACAAAUUUUAGAAAAAAACCUCUUUUUAAAAGGCAGGUAGAUUGGACAGGGUGUAUUUCAAAUACCCAAAGUGACUCAGUAGGAAUUCAGCCAAGGAUAAGUAGUAAAAACUAAUUAAUCAGAGAAGAAAGCAAGCUCCUCCCAAAACAUGCCCAAGUGCUCAACAAAGGCUUUUUGUUGUUGUUUUUCUUGUUCCUUGUUUUACUAGAGCUAAUGAAUUGAGCUCUGCUGGAUUAAUAGUGCCUGACUCAUUCUCAAGCACUGGUCUCAGCUACCACAGAGUGGCUUAUGUCCAUUGCAUUAAAUAGCCUUUACCUGCAAAACCAAGUGGCUGCAUGUAGCCAGCAUAUUUUGAAUGGUUCCUGGCCAUGUUAACACCCUAACAGAGCUUGGGACUUGUCUGGGAGGUGUUAGCUGUGUUGGGCAACAUUUGAGCAUUCUUAUGCCUGGAAACAUUCCAGGAUCUAGAUAGAUUUUUUCCUAAGGAAUUAAGGAUGGAACCUGCCACAGGCUCUGACGUUACUUUCCCUUUCUGUGUCUCGGUUCAUGCUCUACUCUACUAUGUCUUGAAAGCAGCAUCCAGUAGGAGAAGCCUGGGCUGGACUGUCUCCAUCUGGUCUCCCAAUCCCUGUACUUUGGCAACCAAAGGUCAAGGAUGUCCUGGAGGUGUCAUAAAUCCCAAAGGAGAACCCUGGGGUGCUCUGGAGGUGACCUGGGAAGUCUAGGAGAGAGAAAGUAACAGCCCAACAGGGGAAAAUGUUGAGCAGGUUUUACAUCUGACACUUCCUCCAGCACUCUACAGAAAAUUGUCGUCACCAUCUCCAGUAAUUACAGAUUAAAUUCUCUACAAAUGUAUAAAGCAAAAUGAAUGUAUCCCAAUUCACAUGACACCUGUCUUAUUGUUAGUGCAAGAAAUCUUUCUUAUAGUUGCCAAUAAUAAUGGAGAAAGUCAAUGGUUUACAGAGUGAUCAUUUACUGAAGAAGGAAAUGAGUCAGGAUGGGAAAGAUAAAACCUUGCUGGUUAAUAUGCAUUUAUUUGAAGGAUAUAAAAGUCUUAGGAAUUAACUUUAUUUGGGGCACUUUAUGUGGGCUUGCAUACUGUACUGUAAAUGCAAUUACUAUGCAAAUGCACUCAGUAACCAUGGAAGAAAUUUAGGGUAUAGCUGGUGGCACCAUUCUUGGUUUGAGAUCAUAGAAACUAUUUUGACCAACUGAUCCAAUGUUACUGUGAGAAGCUAGAAGUGAUGCUGUCUUUUAACCUGGGGACAGAUUUUCAAACAACAUACAAUAAAAUGUAUUUUCUGGAUCUA